rnacentral:rRNA from 1 species
GACGAACGCUGGCGGCGUGCUUAACACAUGCAAGUCGAACGGAAAGGCCCUGCUUGCAGGGUGCUCGAGUGGCGAACGGGUGAGUAACACGUGGGUGAUCUGCCCCUUACUUUGGGAUAAGCCUGGGAAACUGGGUCUAAUACUGGAUAGGACCAUGCUGUAGGUGGUGUGGUGGAAAGAUUAGUUUCGGUAAGGGAUGAGCUCGCGGCCUAUCAGCUUGUUGGUGGGGUAAUGGCCUACCAAGGCGUCGACGGGUAGCCGGCCUGAGAGGGUGGACGGCCACAUUGGGACUGAGAUACGGCCCAGACUCCUACGGGAGGCAGCAGUGGGGAAUAUUGCACAAUGGGAGCAAGCCUGAUGCAGCGACGCCGCGUGGGGGAUGACGGCCUUCGGGUUGUAAACUCCUUUCAGCCAUGACGAAGCCCUUGUGGUGACGGUAGUGGUAGAAGAAGCACCGGCUAACUACGUG